rnacentral:rRNA from 1 species
CCCGGAGCUUGCUCCGGAUCCCUUAGUGGCGAACGGGUGAGUAACGCGUGGGAAUCUACCUAAAAGUGGGGAAUAACUGUUGGAAACGACAGCUAAUACCGCAUAAUCCCUUCGGGGCAAAGGCUUCGGCCGUUUUUAGAUGAGCCCGCGUUAGAUUAGGCUGUUGGUGAGGUAAUGGCUCACCAAACCUACAAUCUAUAGCUGGUCUGAGAGGAUGAUCAGCCACACUGGGACUGAGACACGGCCCAGACUCCUACGGGAGGCAGCAGUGGGGAAUAUUGGACAAUGGGGGAAACCCUGAUCCAGCAAUGCCGCGUGAGUGAUGAAGGCCUUAGGGUUGUAAAGCUCUUUCAGAAGUGAAGAUGAUGACGGUAACUUCAGAAGAAGCUCCGGCUAACUCCGUGCCAGCAGCCGCGGUAAUACGGAGGGAGCUAGCGUUGUUCGGAAUUACUGGGCGUAAAGGGCGUGUAGGCUGUUUGAUUAGUCAGAGGUGAAAUCCCUAAGCUCAACUUAGGAACUGCCUUUGAUACUGUCAUACUAGAGAUCGAGAGAAGUUAGCGGAAUUCCAAGUGUAGAGGUGAAAUUCGUAGAUAUUUGGAAGAACACCAGUGGCGAAAGCGGCUAACUGGCUCGUAUCUGACGCUGAGACG